CGAGCGGCGGAUGGGUGAGUAACACGUGGGGAACCUGCCCCUAAGUCUGGGAUACCAUUUGGAAACAGGUGCUAAUACCGGAUAAUAAAGCAGAUCGCAUGAUCAGCUUUUGAAAGGCGGCGUAAGCUGUCGCUAAGGGAUGGCCCCGCGGUGCAUUAGCUAGUUGGUAAGGUAACGGCUUACCAAGGCGACGAUGCAUAGCCGAGUUGAGAGACUGAUCGGCCACAUUGGGACUGAGACACGGCCCAAACUCCUACGGGAGGCAGCAGUAGGGAAUCUUCCACAAUGGACGCAAGUCUGAUGGAGCAACGCCGCGUGAGUGAAGAAGGUUUUCGGAUCGUAAAGCUCUGUUGUUGGUGAAGAAGGAUAGAGGUAGUAACUGGCCUUUAUUUGACGGUAAUCAACCAGAAAGUCACGGCUAACUACGUGCCAGCAGCCGCGGUAAUACGUAGGUGGCAAGCGUUGUCCGGAUUUAUUGGGCGUAAAGCGAGCGCAGGCGGAAAAAUAAGUCUAAUGUGAAAGCCCUCGGCUUAACCGAGGAACUGCAUCGGAAACUGUUUUUCUUGAGUGCAGAAGAGGAGAGUGGAACUCCAUGUGUAGCGGUGGAAUGCGUAGAUAUAUGGAAGAACACCAGUGGCGAAGGCGGCUCUCUGGUCUGCAACUGACGCUGAGGCUCGAAAGCAUGGGUAGCGAACAGGAUUAGAUACCCUGGUAGUCCAUGCCGUAAACGAUGAGUGCUAAGUGUUGGGAGGUUUCCGCCUCUCAGUGCUGCAGCUAACGCAUUAAGCACUCCGCCUGGGGAGUACGACCGCAAGGU
rnacentral:rRNA from 1 species